GACGAACGCUGGCGGCGUGCCUAAUACAUGCAAGUAGAACGCUGAAGAGAGGAGCUUGCUCUUCUUGGAUGAGUUGCGAACGGGUGAGUAACGCGUAGGUAACCUGCCUUGUAGCGGGGGAUAACUAUUGGAAACGAUAGCUAAUACCGCAUAACAAUGUAUGACACAUGUCAUUUAUUUGAAAGGGGCAAUUGCUCCACUACAAGAUGGACCUGCGUUGUAUUAGCUAGUAGGUGAGGUAAUGGCUCACCUAGGCGACGAUACAUAGCCGACCGGAGAGGGUGAUCGGCCACACUGGGACUGAGACACGGCCCAGACUCCUACGGGAGGCAGCAGUAGGGAAUCGUCGGCAAUGGGGGCAACCCUGACCGAGCAACGCCGCGUGAGUGAAGAAGGUUUUCGGAUCGUAAAGCUCUGUUGUAAGUCAAGAACGGGUGUGAGAGUGGAAAGUUCACACUGUGACGGUAGCUUACCAGAAAGGGACGGCUAACUACGUG
rnacentral:rRNA from 1 species